UCAAACUUCAUGGGAUUACAACUCUAGACUUAACUCUAGAGAGUAGGGAGCAUAGAGUAGAGACAAGAGGGGUCACUCUUCAUGGACUCUGAUUUCAAAGGAAACACUUGUCCUUGUCCUUCCUCAGGUUCCAACAACUCAAGAGAGUCUGCAAAGCUAGCUAUGCACUAUGCAGUUUAGUUUUCGCUUAACAAAUUAAACUCUCCACUUUCCACACAAACCUAAGAAGAAGCACUUGUCAAGAUGCCCUCUUCUGCUCAUGCUCAUGCUCAUGGCCUCAUCAUCAUCUCUCUCAUUUUGGUGUCUAUUUUUUUACCCAAUGUGAAUCUGGCAAAUGGUGGUGCAACUUCCAUGCAAAUGAUGAUGAUGAUGAAUGAGAGCAGAAGGAAAUUGGGAAGCUUCCAGAUAUGUGCACUAUGCAACUGCUGUGGUGGAGCCAAAGGGAUCUGCUUGCCCUCUCCAUGUUGCUAUGCCAUCAAUUGCAACAUUCCCAAUAGACCUUUUGGCUUUUGUUCCUUCACCCCUAAAACCUGUAAUUGCUUUGAAUGCCAUCUUUAAUGUUUUCUCUUGUAAAUGUCCAGUUGAGAAUAUUGGACUUAAUAAUAAUUUUUCACCUUUCAAUCAACAUACUAAUGAAUUCAGGUGUUUAAUUUGGUGGGGUUGGAAUAGAGGACAGUUAAGCCUUAGCUACAAACCUGCUAGUAUAUCUGUAAUAGGUUUUGCUGUUUGUUUCAUAAUGGAUCAUGUAUCAAUGCAUGAGCCUUGGUAUGUGUAUUGUUCUCUCUUUUCUAUGUGUUGUAUUAUGAUGCUGAUACCAACGUUUCUGUAUUGUUAAAUUAAUAAAGCAUGGAUAUUGCACUUA